rnacentral:tRNA from 1 species
GGUCCUUUUGUAUAGUGGUUAGUACAGCUCCCCUUCAAGAAGCAAGGAUCAGUUCAAGUCUGAUAAGGACCA